rnacentral:lncRNA from 1 species
UUUUGGGAUGUCACUACCAAUUUUUCAGGCCUUAGACAUGUAAGCAUGCAUUUCUACUUUUUUAGAUUUUGAAUCAUGUAGAAAUCUAGCCAAAUUAAUUGAGAAUACUCUAUUGAAUAAAUCAACAACUUUACUUCCAGGGUCCUGUUAACCUAAGCUAAAGAUAAAAAAGCAGCAACAAAGUGCCACUGUUAUCUGGUUAAAACUGACAACUGUAAGAUGUAUGGAUGAUUUUCUACAAGUUUAGAAACAGGAAACAGUGCUUGCUGCACUUGCCACAGGGCAUAUAAACUGAGAAAGUUAUGUAGAAAUUCAAGAUCAGAGGAUGAGCGCAAGGAUGAUCUUUGAGAACAAAACAGUGAACAGAGCCCUUUGUGGUGGCAAGCAGUGACGUGAGGUUGUGUUUAUGUGAAUACAAACCCUCUCCUCCCAAGUCUGGUGACUACAGUGUUUUCUUCCCACCUCGUUGUUAAUUGUGGAAAUCUGGCUGUCACUAUUAACAUAUCAAACAGAGGUCUUGAUAUUAUCUGCAGCUGAUCAUUUGUUUAGGUUUUACCCGCAGGAAAAGUCUGGUGGCAGCCAGUCCCAGGACAGCCACGCAUGACGCACAGAAGAGUCCUUAUAGUUCCCCUGGAGGGGGUGAUGAUGCAGGCAAAUGCCACGCCUGAUCCCUUUGGGUCUCCGUGGCAACAAGGCUGCUUGUCAGACUAGAUGAUAAUGAGCCAUGAUCUGGAAGAGGCUUAUUCCAUAACAGGAGGGAGGUUUCAAAGGUAACACGUCAACAGCAAUGCCUCGGCAACAGCUGUUUGUUAUUGUAGUCGUCAAGGACAGAAAAAGGACAAGGCUGCCAGAAGAUGUUGCAUAUGGAACAGAAGAUUCUUGCCCUGGAAGAAGGAAUAGAGGAGAUGAUACCUCCCUUCUGAACAUCUCAGCACCCCAUCAAGAGAACUUCAGGUCUCUGCCAUUUAGACGUGUCAUUUGUAAGUAAAAUAAAUCAGGGAAGUAAUAGGAGGAAAGCUAAGAAUGAAAGGAAUUCAUCACCACUGCAAAUUUGUCCCUGAAGCAAGGUGAGUCCCUGCCCAUCUGGCUACACCAGCUCUUUUUUUUUUUUUUUUUUUUUUUUUUUUUUGGCCCUUACUAGACCCCACUUGGGAUUUUGUUGGCAUAUUUGCUUGGAUGUCUAUCUCCUCUGUAGUUCCUGAGGUCAAGAUUACAGUCUCUUUUUUUUUUUUUUUAGUUUUUGUAUCUAUGGUGCCUGGCAAAGAAAAGAAGCUCCAUCAAUAUUUACCAGUUGCUGGUGGCAAUGGUAAUGGUAGUUGUGUAGAAGGUGGGAAGGAUAGAAGUAUAGCUAAGUGACGGGACAUUCUAUUUCUACACCUUGUUUAGCUAUGGAGGUCUCUGGAACUAGCCAGGCUAGCCAAGACUGGGACUUCUUGUGUCUUCUCCAAGAGAGGCAGAAUGAGCCUAAUGGUUUAGAACGUGGGCUCUGGAGCCAGACAAGCCAGAUUAGAAUCCUGACUCUACUCCAAGCAGUGUGAGCUUUGGCAAGUUACAUACCCCAUCUGUGCCUCUGUGAGGAUGAAACGAGUUCCUUAGAAUGAUGCCUGGUACCCCAGAGGAGCUAUUCAGGUUCAAUUGACUCUGUUUCUAGUAUUACUGCUCAACUUAGGAAGAAAAGAAGUGCAGAAGAGGAGAGGCUUUUGCUUCAAAUUUUGAGUUUCACAUUUAACCUUGCAGUUUUAUCCCUGGGGAGCUUCUGCCUGGAUGGAGGAUGAAUCUGGUAUCUAAGCUCCUCCUUAGGGCUGUCAU